UGAGGAAUAUUGGUCAAUGGGCGCAAGCCUGAACCAGCCAUCCCGCGUGCAGGAAGACGGCCCUAUGGGUUGUAAACUGCUUUUCCAGGGAGAGAAACUUACGCACGUGUUGCGUGACUGACGGUACCCUGGGAAUAAGCAUCGGCUAACUCCGUGCCAGCAGCCGCGGUAAUACGGAGGAUGCAAGCGUUAUCCGGAUUCAUUGGGUUUAAAGGGUGCGUAGGCGGGCUAUUAAGUCAGUGGUGAAAUCCUGCAGCUUAACUGCAGAACUGCCGUUGAUACUGAUAGUCUUGAGUUUGGUUAAGGUAGGCGGAAUGUGUAAUGUAGCGGUGAAAUGCUUAGAUAUUACACAGAACACCAAUUGCGUAGGCAGCUUACUGAGCCGACACUGACGCUGAGG
rnacentral:rRNA from 1 species